UUGUUGCAAAAGGUGUCUUGCA
rnacentral:siRNA from 1 species